rnacentral:rRNA from 1 species
AUACGAAGGGGGCAAGCGUUGUUCGGAAUAACUGGGCGUAAAGCGCACGUAGGCGGAAUGUUAAGUUAGAGGUGAAAUCCCAGGGCUCAACCCUGGAACGGCCUUUAAUACUGGCAAUCUAGAGACUGAGAGAGGUGAGUAGAAUUCCGAGUGUAGAGGUGAAAUUCGUAGAUAUUCGGAGGAACACCAGUGGCGAAGGCGGCUCACUGGCUCGGUACUGACGCUGAGGUGCGAAAGCGUGGGGAGCAAACAGGAUUAGAAACCCCAGUAGUCC